UACGUAGGGGGCUAGCGUUGUCCGGAAUCACUGGGCGUAAAGGGCGCGUAGGCGGCUUUUCAAGUCGGGGGUGAAAGCCUGUGGCUCAACCACAGAAUUGCCUUCGAUACUGUUAGGCUUGAGACCGGAAGAGGUGAGUGGAACUGCGAGUGUAGAGGUGAAAUUCGUAGAUAUUCGCAAGAACACCAGUGGCGAAGGCGGCUCACUGGUCCGGUUCUGACGCUGAGGCGCGAAAGCGUGGGGAGCAAACAGG
rnacentral:rRNA from 1 species